CAGGUCGUCGACCCCACCUUUGGGAGGCCUGGGAGGGGGCGGGCGCCCUCGCUGUACAUUCUGGGGAUACGUUGGGCGGGGUCUGCCGGUGGAAAAGUCCUGGGCUUCCACCCAAAACCCCAACUGCGGCUGGUCUGUAGAACCCAGAAGAGGAGAGAACUGCUGUGCAUCUGAAGUGAUGGUGGAGGAUUGGGACUGAUGAAUUUACAAGAAAAGAGGCCUGAACUAGCACAUUAGCAUGUUCAGCCCCUUGCCAUGUGAUGCCCUGCAAAGCCUUGGAAUUCAGCAGAGUCCCCACCAGCAAGAAGGCCCUCACUAGACACCGCCCCUUGACAUUGGACUUCUCAGCCUCCAAAACUCCUGAUUAAUGACAGAGCUGCUUCAUUGUUCAGUCCAAGCUGAUUUUCAUUCCUUCACAGAAGAGGGAAGCAAAUGUCCCUACGCUCAGAAAAAUAAAAAUUACACUUCAUGGAACAAAAAAGAAACACAAACUCAUCUGGAUUCUAACUCGCCCAUAUGCAACAGCAAUCAUUUCCUCCUCUCCCCGCUGCCUUCCUAAAGAACAGCAGGAUUGGGAAAGGAGACGGAAUCUUGAGACAUCGGGCCUUUGCUGGAGCCGGGCUUGGCUGACCGGGGCACACCCCCGCUAGCGCACUAGCUCCCUCCGUCUACCGCGCGCAAAACCCCAUGGAAAUACAAGGGAGCCUGGAAUAAAGCUGACCCGUCCCCGUAUCAGGGAGAAAGGCCAGGUACACGAAGACUGGGCUGAAAUCUGUCUCCGAGUUCCCCGCAGUUUCCAUGGGAGGGAGCUCGGGUAAAGAUCUGCGAUAUGCAGUUGUUGUUCAGACUACAUCUUUUUGUUUGGGGGCCUUCAUUCACUCCGGGGUUCAUGCCUCUAACUCGAAGCCAUUCCGGGCCGCUGGACCUGCGCGGCCCUGAAGCGGGAGGGCAGAGGACGCAGCAGGGCACUCGGCGCCCAGUCAGCCCCACAAACUGCACAGCUACUGCCUCCCGGCUCACACAGAGGUCCGCGCCGCCCCCGCGCCACCCCCUCGCCCAUUGCCUGGGUGCAAGCUACCAACUUACCUCUCAGAGCCGACAUCAGCAGGGAAGCCGGAAAGAUUCGCGCGCGGAGGCCUGUGGGAAAUGUAGUCCGCGGGUGGGAGGGACUGGUCCCAGCGCCGACGGGCUGCGCGGAGUGCGCAGGCGCGAACGUUGGCGCUCCAACAGCGCUCGUGUUGGGAGGGCCUUCCAGGCUGCCAGGAGAUGAGGUGAGCUCGGGCCUGCGUUUGCUUCUGUGUUGCUGAGGAAGACUUUUUUUUUGAGACGGAGUUUCGCUGUUGUUACCCAGACUGGAGUGCAAUGGCAGGAUCUCGGCUCACCGCAACCUCCGCCUCCUGGGUUCAAGCAAUUCUCCUGCCUCAGCCUCCUGAGUAGCUGGGAUUACAGGCAAACGCCACCAUGCCCAGUUAAUUUUUGUAUUUUUAGUAGAGACGCCGUUUCACCUUUUGACCAGGAUGGUCUCGAUCUCUUGACCUCGUGAUCCACCCGCCUCGGCCUCCCUAAGUGCUGGAAUUACAGGCGUGAGCCACCGCGCCCGGUAGGAAGACUUUUUUUAUUUUUUAUUUUUAUUGAGACAGGCUUGCUCUGUCGCUCAGGUUGGAGUGCAAUGACGUGAUGAGAGCUUGCUGCAGCCUCGACCUCCCGGGCUCAAGCGACCCUCCCACCUGAGCCUCCAGAGUAGUUGGGACUGCAGGCGCGUGCCACCACACCCAACUAAUUUUUUAAUUUUUGCAGAGCCCAGAUCUCCCUAUGUUACCAAAGCUGGUGUCCAACUCUUGGGCUCAAGAGAUCCCUCCGCCUGAGCCUCCCAAAGUGCUGGGACUACAGGCGUGAGCCACUGGAUUCAGCCACAGAAGAUUUAGAAAGACGUUUUGGUACGAGCAAGUGCCUAAUAUAUGUACUAAACACCUAGCAGUUACUCACUGCAUACAUCCAAGCAUGGUGUGAGGAGCAUACAUCAGGCAUGAGCAUACUUGACGUAUGCUCAACAGAACCUGGAGCAGGACCUAGACCUAGAAAGGUCGCCCAUGCUCACUGCGCUCUCAAUCAAUAUCUCUCCCUCUCCUCCUCCCUUCUCCCCUCUCCCCUCUCCUCUCAAGAAUACAUUUCUCCUGUCCUCUGUUCCUUCGGGAAAGAAAUGAGAUAAGCCCACCAGAGGACCACCAUAAGGCAUCUUCUGAGGCAUCAAUUCUUCGAAAGAAUAUAAAACUUUCGAAGAUAUUUGAAAAUGCCCAGGUAAUCUUGUUUCAUUUUGCAAAGAAUAGGAUAUGCACGAAAUAGGAGAUAAAUGAAAACUCUGAGCCGGGUGCGGUGGCUCAAGCCUGUAAUCCCAGCACGUUGGGAGGCCGAGGCAGGUGGAUCACGAGGUCAAGAGAUCGAGACCAUCCUGGUCAACAUGGUGAAACCCCGUCACUACUAAAAAUACAAAAACUUAGCUGGGCAUGGUGGUGCGUGCCUGUAGUCCCAGCUACUCAGGAGGCUGAGGCAGGAUAAUUGCCUGAACCCAGGAGGCGGACGGAGGUUGCGAUGAGCCGAGAUCGUGCCAUUGCACCUGGGUAACGAGAGCGAAACUCCGUCUCAAAAAGAAAAAGAAAACUCUGAGCUACUUUUUGACUACUAAGAAGGCGGCUGGGCUCACGCCUGUGAUCCCAGCACUUUGGGAGGCCAAGGUGGGCAGAUUACUUGAAGUCAGGAAUUCGAGACCAGCCUGGCCAACAUGGUGAACCCCUGUCUCUACUAAAAUACAAAAAUUAGCUGGGCGUGGUGGAGCAUGCCUGUAAUCCCAACUACUUGGGAGGCUGAAGUAGGAGAAUUGCUUGAACCUGGGAGGCAGAGGUUGCAGUAAGCUGAGAUGGUACCACUGCACUCCAGCCAGGGUGACAAAGCAAGACCCCUCUCAAAAAAAAAAAAAGGCUGGGCACUUUGGGAGGCCGAGGUGAUUGGAUCACCUGAGUUCUGGAAUUCUAGACCAGCCUGGUCAACAUGGUGAAACAUAGUCUCUACUAAAAAUACAAAAAAAAAAAAAAAAUUAGCCGGGCAUGGUGGCGCAUACCUGUAGUCCCUGCUACUCAGGAGGCUGAGGCAGGAGAAUUGUUUGAACUGGGGAGAUGGAGGUUACAGUGACCCAAUAUUGUGCCAUUGCACUUCAGCCUGGGCAAAAAGAGUGAAACUCUGUCUCAAAAAAAUAAACAAGCAAAAAAACCUACUAAGAAGGCCCAGUCAUCACAGUUUUAUGUAGAUGUGUAUGAUUAAAUUUAUGUAAGGAAAUCAAUACUCCAUUAAAAAAGGCAAUAAAAAGUAUUAUUAAAAUAGAUUUUCCAUUUUCUUUCGGUUUCAACUAAGUUUUUUUUUUUUUUCUAAAGUCUUGUUCUGUCACCCUGGCUGGAGUAUGGUGGCAUAUCGUCUCACUGCAACCUCAGCCUCCCAGGUUCAAGGAAUUCUCCUGCCUCAGCCUCCCUGAGUAGCUGGGAUUACAGGCAUGUGCCACCAUACCCGGCUAACUUUUUGUGUUUUUAGUGGAGACAGGGUUUCAUCAUGUUGGCCAGGCUGGUCUCAAACUCCCAGCCUCAAGUGAUCUGUCUCAGCCUCCUCAACUGCUGGGAUUACAGGCAUGAGCCAUGCACCUGGCCUUGUUUUGGCUAAGUUUUGAGGCCUUCUGACACUAGGGGAUACCUUCUUCAAAUCCUCUCUGGUAAGGUGACUGCUGGAGGAGAUAACUAACUGUAGGUCAUUUUCCUUGUCAAACAGCACCAGAGAAUUAAUGCCUAAUUUCACUGAGGUACAAUGGAGGGAUUUUUGGAAAGGGCCCUGCUCUGUGUCAAAUGAUGGGUACUUGGUACAACAUCAUGCUCACUGACCUUCUGAAAUAUGAUUUUCUUCAGAUUGUUUAUUUUCUCGUCUCAUUCAGUUUGAAAAGGGCUAUUUGGACCUUCGAUUCAUAACAGUCAUGCAGAACAAGAGAGUUUCUUUCAGAGAGUUUCAUUUCUUUUCUCAGUAUCUAAAUCUGUACUAUUAAUAUUUUCAGUUGUCCUCAGAUGUCUGUAGUUUCUCUUAGUAGAAAAAAAACUCCAUUUGUCAAAUGCUCCAUUAUUUGACACAGAGCAGUGUCCUUUCCAAAAAUCCUUCCACUGUACCUCUAAAACUGUCAUUCUAGCCUUUUUGUUGUUGUUUUUAAUAGAUCACGAACAGACACAGUGGCUCAAGCCUGUAAUCCCAGCAUUUUGGGAGGCUGAGGCAGGCGAAUGGAUUGAGCCCAGGAGUUUGAGACCAGCCUGGGCAACAUGGUGAAAUCCUGUCUCUACAAAAAAUACAAAAAUUAAUCAGGCAUGGUGAUGCACAUCUGUAAUCCCAACUACUUAUUUUUUUCAUAUAUAUAUUUACAUAUAUAUGAUUUUAGUAACUUUGAAAUCAUAAAAAGGAAACAUGCCUCACCAGGAAUUAAAUCCAUGUUAUUCCUCAAUAUAUUUCUGGAGCCUUCAUUUAUUCCAAAACUGUUUCUCCUGGAUGUACUUUACAUUAAGUUUGCAGAUUGAGAAAGCGGCACAACGUUUACCAAACGCUUUUGUAAUCAUUUAUGGUAAUAUCGUAUAAUUUAUUAUCUCAAUUUUUGUUAAAUACCUUCAUGGCAAAGGCACUAUCAGAAGCUGCUGCAAAACCGCACACCAAUGGUGAAGGAGAAAGCCGCUGCUUUCAGCUUUCUUCUGCCUUCCUAAUCUUGCAUGAGUUUAUCUCACUGGAAGAACAUAGAUCACAUCCGGAAUUCUAGAGGCAAGAGGGUCUAAACAUUGUAGGUUUUAGGCUUCCAGCCUCUGUAGCAUAAAAAAGAGCAUGGGGCACAGUAGAAUACUUAAAACAACAACAAAUGAUAUCCAGCACAUUAGGGUUUUUUAAAAGUUAUUUAUUUAUUUAUUUUGAGGCGGAGUUUCACUCGUCACCCAGGCUGGAGUGCAGAGGUGCAAUCUCGGCUCACCCUACCCUCCGCCUUCUGGGUUCAAGUGAUUCUCCUGCCUCAGCCUCCCUAGUAGCAUAGGGUUUUACCAUGUUGGCCAGUCUCCUGACCUCAGGUGAUCAACCACCUCAGCCUCCCAAAGUGCUGGCAUUACAGGCGUGAGCCACCAUGCCCGGCCAGUUUUUUAAACAAUUUAAUAUCAUAAUAUUUGGCUUUGUUCUCAAAAUUUCUCAAAAAAAAAGAAAAAAAUUUUUGCUACCCCAAUGAUAGAAAGAUAUUCUACAUUUUCUUCUAAAGUCCUUGCUUUACCUUUUAUCAUUAGAUCACUCAUACAUCUGGAAUUGACUUAUGUAUAGUGUGAGGUAAGGGUGAAGAUUAAUUUUUUUAAUUAAAACAGAUACACAACUGAUCUAGUGCUUUUUAUUAGAAAGACCACCAUUUCCCAAGCACAUGGCCAAAGAAACUAUCACAAAUUAGACAACCACGUGUGUGUGUGUGUGUGUGCGCGUGUAUAGAGAGAGAGAGAGAGAGAGAUAUCUUUUCAGGGCUCUUUAUUUUGUUCCAUUGGUCUGUUUGUUCAUUCUUGCACCAAUAACAUACCUGCCAUAAUGACUACAGUACAACUUGUCACAUUAACAAACUGAAGGAGGAAAACAUCGUAUCAAUGAGCCAAAAAGGCAUCUGACAAUAUUUAGCAGGCAUUUCUAUUUAAAAAGAAAGAAAAAAGAAAAAUUAAACAGGAACUGAAAGAGACAAGUGAGCCACAAUAAAAUCUAUUUUUGGGUAGCCUGAGGGCCCAGUUAGACUUGUCCAUGAGCAGAACCACUGCGGAGAGUCUCCACUAGGACAGUGCCUAAUAAAGUAAGGCCAUCCUCAAGGCCCCAGAACUGAGGAGCUACCAGUGUGAACCUCCAACCUGUAACAGAUGCUGUGUGGGAUGAGCCCAGCAAACCCAUGGAGGCAAGGCUGUCUGAGAACCAGCCAACAUCCCAGUGUGUCCAAGUAGGUCACAAAGUUAAAGAAGAGUCUUCUGGAGCCUUAAGAGUUAAUGUUGUUUGGCCGGGUGUGGUGGCUCACGCCUGUAAUCCCAGCACUUUGGGAAGCUGAGGCAGGGGCAUAACCUGAGGUCAGGAGCUCAAGACCAGCCUGACCAACAUGGUGAAACCCCAUCUCUACUAAAAAUAUAAAAAUUAGCCAGGCAUGAUGGUGGAUGCCUGUAAUCCCAGCUACUUGGGAACCUGAGGCAGGAGAAUUGCUUGAACUGGGGAGGCAGAGGUUGCAGUGGGCCAAAAUCACACCAUGGCACUCCAGCCUGGGUGACAGAGCGAGACUCUUUAAAAAAAAAAAAAAAAAAAAAGAGUUCAUGUUGUUUGCAUGGUUAGGUUUUGGACUUACUUGGCACCAGUUAUCCCUUUUUUCUUCCCUAUUUCUUUCAGAAUAGGAAUGUCUAGGCUAUGCCUGUCCCACCAUUGUGUUUUGGGAGUAAAAUCUUGCUUGAUUUCAUAGCCUAACAGCUGGAGGAAAAUUUGCCUCAGGAUAAAUCAUGCCUUGUUUCACCAUAUCUGAUCUAGAUGAGAACGAACUUUUGAGUUGGUGCUGGAAAGAGUUAAGACUGUGGGGCAAUCAGAGGGGAGUGAAUGUAUUUUACAUGUGAGAAGAACAUCAAUUUGGGAGGCCAGAGAAGACAUGCUAUAGUUUGAAUGUGUCCCCAAGUUUUAGGGAGAAACGUGAUACCCAAUUCAAUAGUAUUAAGAGGUGAAACCUUUAAGAAGUGAUUGGGCUAUGAGGGCUCUGCUUUCAUGAAUGGAUUAAUGCCAUUAAUACAGGAGUGGGUUCAUUAUCAAAAGAUGAGUUGGGCUCCCUCUUGCCCUCUCUGCCCUUCUGCCAUAAGAUGAUGUAGCAAGAAGGUCCUUAUGAGAUGCCAGCCUCCUAUUCUUGCAAUUCCUAUCAUACAGAACUGUGAGCCAAUUUCUGCUGUUCUUUGGAUAUUACCCAGUCUGUGGUGUUUUUUUGUUUGUUUUUUUGAGAUGGAGGUUUGCUCCUGUUGCCCAGGCUGAAGUGCAAUGGUGCAAUCUCAGCUCACUGCAACCUCUGCCUCCCAGGUUCAAGCGAUUCUCCUGCCUCAGCCUCCCAAGUACCUGGGAUCACAGGCACGCACCACCACGCCUGGCUAAUUUAGUAUUUUUAGUAGAGAAAGAGUUUCACCAUCUUGGCCAGGUUAGUCUCAAACUCCUAACCUCAAGCAAUCCACCCACUUCAGCCUCCCAAAGUGCUGGAAUUACAGGGGUGAGCCAUCAAGCCAAGUCGGUAUCUUCACGAAAUAGACUAAGAAAAAAGGUAAUAAUUUUUGUGUUGAAUUCCUAUUUUUAUAUGUAUUCUUCAUUCCUUUUGUAAAGCCAGUGAAACUUAAGAUAAAUGAGAAUAAUAGAAACCAUCUAAAAGAUACUUUGAGGCCAGGCACAGUGGCUCAUGCCUGUAAUCCCAGCUCUGUGGGAGGCCAAGGUGGCCAGAUCACGAGGUCAGGAGAUAGAGACCAUUCUGGCCAACAUGGUGAAACUCCGUCUCUACUAAAAAUAUAAAAAAUUAUCUGGGCGUGGUGGUGUGCACCUGUAAUCCCAAUUACUGGGGAGGCUGAGGCAGGAGAAUCGCUUGAACCCAGGAGUUGGAGGUUGCAGUGAGCUGAGAUAGUGCCUCUGCACUCCAGUCUGGUUACCAUCUGAAAAAGAAAGAAGAUACUGUGCUGGAAUCAUGUCAUUUUUUAUAACAUUAUUGCAUUGUUCAAGUCAGAAAACCUAAAAUCUGGAUACAUAUUUAAAUGAAAACAAGGCCAGGCCCCAGGGUAUUCCUAGUAAAUCAUUUUGUUUUAUAAUUGUUUCAAGACUAUUGAGUCCAAUUUACUGAUACUUUUUUGUGAAUGUUUGCAUGUAUCUUAAGUAAAAUUGGCACACAUUUUUACUUUAUUUAUCCUCCUCUAAUUUUAUGUUGGGAUAUUUGCCUUAUAAAAUGAUCUAGUAAAAUUUUGUUACAGGUUAUAUAUUCUUUGUUUUUAGAGUCUUGCUCUGUAGCCCAGGCUGGAGUGUAAUAGCAUGACCUUGGCUCACUGCAACCUCUGCCUCCCUGGUCCUGGUUCAAAGAAUUCUCCUGUCUCAGCUUCCUGAGUAGCUGGGAUUACAGGCACACAUCACCAUGCCCAGCUAGUUUUUGUAUUUUUAACAAAGACGGGGUUUCACCAUGUUGUCCAGGCUGGUCUUGAACUCCUGACCUUGUGAUCCACCCACCUCAGCCUCCCAAAGUGCUGGGAUUAUAGGCAUGAGCCACUGUGCCCAGCCAAGUUCUAUAUUCUUUAAAGCUUUUUACUGCCUGUAAAACUAUGGAUUGUAGUUUUUAAAAAACAUCAUAACUGUACUUUUCUCCUUUUAUUUAUGGAUUAGUUCAGGUUUUUUUUUUUGUAUAUGGAGUCAACUUUUAUCAUUUAGGUUUCUCUAGAUUUAAACAUUGAAAUAUAUGUAUACAGUAAAUAUAUGUAUAUAGUAAUAUGUAACGUAUUUUUUAAAAUCUCCUUAUUAUGUAGCUAUUUCACCUUUUCCAUACAUAAAGCUAUGAGUCAUGUUUUUCCCUCAAUAACUGCCAAUCUAUAUUAAUGUUCUUUUCAAAGAGAAUAUCCUUAGUCUAUUAUUUUAUUAACUAUUCCAUUAAUUUAUCAUAAAACUACUUCCUGUAAUUCACCUUACCUUUAAAAAAUUUCUGGCUUAAGUUAAUCCUUAUUUUUUCCCAUCACACUUGUUAUGUGAUAGGUAUUGUAUGUAUGUGAAUAGAGUGGUGAACAAGACAAAUAUUCCCAGCUAUCUCCUUUAUCAAACUCUCAUACACCAAGUCAAUAUUCCCCCUACCCUAACAGGACAACUAGGAAUCACCCCUAGAGUCCACAGCCCAACAAAAUUACUCAAACAAUCCAAUCCUAAACUUACCAGACUGCCUACCCCUCCCUUAUCCAUUCCUUCCCAGGAAAACCCCCAAUGCUCUGCCCUCACCCCUUCUGCAGCCUGAUAACAACACCCGGGCGCUUCUUUACGUGACUCCGUGUGGCAUGCCACACCUCCUGUUUCUAGGAUCUGAGUAUAAACUUCCUUCAUUACAAUCAUUUCCAUGUCUGCCUGUCUAACCAUGAUUGAUUAAAACAAAUCCCAAGCACAUUUUAACACAAGGAUCCUAAAAUGCUCCAUACACUGUUUUUAAUGGAUACAUCUCUUGUCUCCUUUAAUAUGUAGGAUUCCACUUUUAUCUUUUUUUUUUUUUGACAUGUAUAGGUUAAAAAAACUAGGCCAUCACUUCUGCAGAAUUUCUCAAAUUGUGCAUUUGUUUGUGUCAUUAAUUUGUUCUUUUAUUCCCCAUGUUUCCUGUAAACCAGUAAUUAGGUUUGUAGACUAACUUGUACUUCUCAAUGAAUUUGGGGGACCAAGAAAACUUCACAGGUAUCCACUGUGUGCAUCCAUUACAUCACAUCAGGUGCAUCUGGCCAUUCUCAUUUAGAGAGUGUUAAUAUGGAUUAGUGUCCUGGCAUUCUGCUUCAUGCAGUAUAAGCUUCCUAUUCAUUUUUCACCUAAUGGUCUUGGCAUCCACUACUAUUAACACCAAAAUCCAUUAUUUUGUAAAAUUAAAAAGUGUAAUUUUCAAAUUCAAUCAUUCCUUUGACCUUUUAACCAGUUAGAAUUCUCUAAUAAUAAACAACUUUCCUUCACUAACUUUUGGUUGUCUUGAAAUAUAGUUCCUAAAGUAUAGGCAAGGUAAAUGUUCCAUUCUUUUCCUUUGUUAAUAAUGCUCUUGUAUACUCCAUAACUAAUAAAUGCAUUUGGUUCAGAAAAAAAAAAUGCAGCUCAAAGGAUGGAGUGGCCAUGACAAAAGGACAGAGGAGCCAAUUUGAGGUGAUUGCCACUGGCCAAAUACAGGACAAUUUAGCAUUUUUAAAAGCUACAAUAUAUUUUUUUAAUUAAUAGUUUUAUAAUACAGGUGAUGUUUAAUCUCCAAAUAGUUUCAUGUUAUCCUUUGUCAAUUUUUGAUAUUGACCAGGGCCAGAGAAUGCUGAUUGUAUUUUUUUUUUUUGAGACAGGGUUUUGAUCUGUCACUCAAGUUGGAGUGCAGUGGUGCAAUCAUAGCUCACUGCAGCCUCGACUCUUGGGUUCAAGUGAUCCUCCCACCUCAGCCUCCUGAGUAGCUAGGACUACAGGCAUGCAACACCAUGCCCAGGGUUUAUCGACAAAAUGAAGUCUCUGAUGUGGAGUAACAGACGUGCGUUUCUGAAUCCAGUCAAGCUCACUGUGAUUAAGAAGGCCUCUGCUAGCUGGGCAUGGUGGUGCGUGCCUGUAAUCCCAGCUACUUAGGAGGCUGAGGCAGGAGAAUUGCCUUAACCCAGGAGGCGGAGGUUGAGGUGAGCCAAGAUCGCGCCAUUGCACUCCAGCCUGGGUAACGAGCGAAACUCCGUCUCAAAAAAAAAAAAAAGAAGGCCUCUGCUUAUCUAUAUCAUAUGAUCUCAAAGCAGUGUCCCUUUUAUUGCUACCUGGAGAGGCCUCCUUGCAGAUCUCACAUGUCCUAACUUACUUCCAUCUCUUAGGACUCUUCACAGUCUGUUCUAUCUCCCACAGAUCUCCUGAUUGGGCUUUUUGCAUGGCUGGCUCCUUUUCAUCCUGAGGUCUUAGAGUAAAAGUCAUUUCCUUUAAGGUUGACCCUAUUGAUAGUCCCUAAAAAUCCAUGUUGCUAUUCUCUAUUUCUUACCUUUAUAAUAACCUCUCAAUAUAUAUAUAUUUUUUUUUAGAGACAGAGUUUCGCUCUUGUUACCCAGGCUGGAGUGCAAUGGCGCAAUCUUGGGUCACCACAACCUCUGUCUCCUGGGUUCAAGCAAUUCUCCUGCCUCAGCCUCCCGAGUACCUGGGACUACAGGCACGCGCCACCAUGCCCAGCUAAUUUUUGUAUUUUUAAUAGAGAUGGGGUUUCACCUUGUUGACCAGGAUGGUCUCGAUUUCUUGACCUCGUGAUCCACCCGCCUCGGCCUCUCAAAGCGCUGGGAUUAUAGGCAUGAGCCACCGCGCCCAGCCACUAAAAAUUAUAUAUUAACUUCUCCAUUUGUUAUACUGCUUAUUCUCACCUAUAAACCUCCUCAAGGACAGAAACAAUCCCUACUUUACAUUAAGUAAUAAAUGCUAAGCAUAUAAUAGGUUUUACUCAUUUAAUUCCCAUAGUUAUAUACUUGUCCUAAACAUAUCUCUCUGCCUCUAGUCUCUCACGCCUUACAAAAAUGAUUAAAUAUUCUCUUUAUUUGUCCAGGGUAGUGCAGCUAAAUACAUGAAUGGAAUAGGUGGCUGUAUAUUCCUAUAUAUCCACCACUGCUUAUGCCCUUAUAUGCAGUAUACCACCCAUUUGCUCCUUCACAUAGCUAUGGCUAAGUUUUCUUUAUCACUACACACCAUCGCAAAGGUAUUGAGAAGUUCUACCUACUCAAGCUCCCCUUCAACUUAUUCUAUUACUCAUUCAUUUGAAAAAUAUUCAACUGGUUUUGUUCUUUCCUCCCAUUGCUCAAGUUUUCUCCUUUCCAUUUCCUAAUAGUCAAGGCGAUUCCUGUAUUUUUAGGAAAGGUGUAUCAGUGAUUUUUCAGACAGGAAAACAUGUUUAUAUCUUAUUGAAGUUCUUAUGAAAUUCUUGGCACAAAAAGAUGGGAUAAGCUGGUAACUCAGUAAUGUGGACAGAAGUAAUGUGCACAUUCAAAUGUUGUCGUCAUCUGAAUAUGAAGGCCUUGCUAACAGAAGCAACGUUAAAUAUAGGCCAAGGAUGGCAAGCCAGCAGCAGAAACAGAGGAAAAUCUAAGGGCUGAAUGAGUAGUGUAUGAGAGAGAAACAGGAUGAGGGUUUCAAUUAUUACAAUGUAGUCUCUAUUAAAAAGUUGAAAUCCAGAUACAUACUAGGAGUUAGCAAAAAAAAAAAGUUGAAAUCCAUAUACACAUUUUCUACAAAACCUAGAAAUUAAUAAAAGUAAAAGAACCAAAAGAAAAAUCUACCUGAAUAUUCAAAAGUCUAUAUUAAAUAACUUUUACAUCUGAAAAUAAGAUCUGAAACAGUAUUUUUGGUUUUUGCUUGCUUAUUUGUUUUUUGAAACGGAGUCUUGUUCUGUCACCCAGGCUGGGUGUAGCAGCAUGAUCUUGUCUCACUGCAGCCUCUGCCUCCUGGAUUCAAGUAAUUCUCCUGCCUCAGCCUCCAGAGUAGCUGGGAUUAUAGGCCUGUGCUACCAUACUUGGCUAAUUUUUUCUGUAUUUUUAAUAGAGAUGGGGUUUCACCAUGUUAGACAGGCUGGUCUCAAAGUCUUGACCUCAAGUGAUUCUCCCACCUCUGCCUCCCAGAGUGCUGGGAUUAUACACAUGAGCCUGGGUCCCUGGCUGUAUUCUUGUUUUUUUAGAAAAUAGUGGUAGGCUGACGGCAAUGGCUCACACCUGUAAUCCCAGCACUUCAGGAGGCCAAGGCAGGAGGAUUUCCUUAGCCCAAGAGUUCGAGACCAGCCAGAGCAACAUGGAAAGACCUCAUUUCUACAAAAAACAAAUUAAAAAAUUAGCUGGGUGUGGUGGUGUGUGUUAUAGGACCAGCUACAUGGGAGACUGAGGAAAGAGGACUGCUUGAACCCAGGAGGUCAAGGGUGCAGUGGGCUGUGUGUAUACCACUGCACUCCAGCCUGGGUGACAGAGCAAGACCCUAUUUCUUAAAAAAAAAAAAGCAAGUCUAUAUUUUGAAAACCUCCACAUAAGUAUCUAUAAAACAUAACCAUAGUGCUUAGAAGAAACUUUAAAAACUAAAACCCAGCAAUAAAGGUGAAAAACAUCAUUAAAAGUCUUACUCAAGGCUGGGCACGCUCGUGCCUGUAAUCCCAGCACUUUGGGAGGCCGAAGUGGGGGAAUCACAAGGUCAGGAGAGCGAGACCAGUCUAGCUACCAUGGUGAAACCUCAUCUCUACCAUAAAUACAAAAAUGUAGCCAGGCGUGGUGGCAGGUGCCUAGAGUCCCAGCUACUUGGGAGAUUGAAGCAGGAGAAUCGCUUGAACCUGGGAGGUGGAGGUUGCAGUGAGCCGAGAUGGCGCCACUGCACUCCAACCCGGCGACAGCAAGACUCUGUCCCGAAAAAAAAAAAAAGUCUCACUUAAAAAAAGAAAAUAAAAUGAAGCAAAGCAGAAGAAAAUAUUAACUUAUAUAAAAGCAGGAUUAGUUAGAAUACAGAAAUAGAGCUAAUACAUAAAGUAUAAACCAGUAUUUUUUUUUUUGUAUUUUAAAAUUAUUUUAUUUAUUUGUUUAUGUUUAAAAGCAGUCUUGCUCUGUCACUCACUGCACAUGGUUGGAGUGCAGUGGCCUAAUCAUAACCCACUGCAACCUUGAUUUCCUGGGUUCAAGCCAUCCUCCUGCCUCACCCAAGAGUAGUUAGGACCAUAGGCAUAAACCAUCAUAUAAACACACACACACACACACACACACAUAUGUAAAGAUGGUGUCUUGCUAUGUUCGCCAGGCUGGUCUUGAACUCCUGACCUCAUAAUCCACCCACCUCAGCCUCCCAAAGUGCUGGGAUUACAGGAGUGAGCCAUCACACCUGGCUUAAAGUGAAUAAUUUGUCAGAAAGAUAUAAUUUAUCAAAACGGACCACAGAAGAGAUACAUAUUAAUAAAAUGUUUAUGUAGAUAUAUUUCCAUAGAGCAAAUAAAGAAUGCAGCAAGAUUUACCUUCCCUUUUCCCAGGAAUAAAGCUUUACACAACUUAUUUAAGCUUUAAAGACAGGCUAUCCAAAUUCUUUUUCAACUAAGAAGAAUGAGGACUUCCAAACUCUUUUCAUAAAGUGAUACUGAAAUAAAGAUCACUCACGAAAAGAAAACUACACACCAAUUUUCUGAUCACUGAGGAAAAAAUUCUGAAUAACUAAUAGAACAGCACCUUGAAAGACCCAAGUGGUGUUUAUUACAGGAAUGUUUUAAUGGUUCAAUAUGGGGAAAUCUAUUAAGACAAUUCAACAUAUCAACAGAGCUAAGGAGAAAAAAAAAUCACAUAACUGACUCCACAGAUGCUGAAAAGGUAACUAAAAAAAGACCAAAACUGCCAGAUAUGGUGGCGCUUUCCUGUAAUCCCAGCACUUUGGGAGGCUGAGGCAAGUAGAUUACAAGUUCAGGAGUUCAAGACCAGCCUGGCCAACAUAGUGAAACCCCAUCUCUACUAAAAAUACAAAAAAAUUAGCCAGGCAUGGUGGUGUACACCUGCAGUCCCAGCUACUCAGGAGGCUGAGGCAGGAGAAUCAACUUAACCCGGGAGGCUGAGGUUGUAGUAAGCUGAGAUUGUGGCAUUGCACUCCAGCUUGGUUGAGAAAGCAAGACUUCGUCUCAAAAAAAUUGAAAAAGAAUAGAAAAAGAAAAAGACCAGACUGUUGCUGAAUUUGUUUUCCCAAGAAACCGGGUCCCCCUCUGUCACCAAGGCUGGAGUGCAGUGGUGCAAACACAGCUCACUGCAACCUCCAACUUCUGGGCUCAAGCAAUGCUCCUGCCUCAUGUUCCUGAUUUUUUUUUUUUUCUUAAAGAUGGGGUUUCACCAUGUUGGUCAGGCU